rnacentral:rRNA from 1 species
AUGCUGGAGAAUAGUUCUGGUUCUUGCAUCUCACCAAGAGAAUAUUAUUGUUUCAAGCUGCAAAUUAGACCUGGGAAGUUUAACAUCUUACUCUUUGGAAGGCGAUUGACUCAACAAUAUAUAGUUGAUAUGUACAUUAAGAUUGAAUCAAUAAGAUUGGCAUUCUUGUCAAAGCCAUCAACUCAGGUUCUCAUCAGAGCAGAUUUGUAUCAAGGAUUGGUCGAUAGCAUUGUUGCCGGUGAAACACGUGGGUGCAUGAUAGGUAGGCGCAUUGUGCUUCCCCCAUCAUUUAUCGGAGGACCAAGAGAUAUGCGUCGAAGAUAUCUGGAUGCAAUGGCUUUGGUCCAAUGGUUUGGGAAACCAGACAUAUUCCUUACAAUGACUUGCAACCCACAUUGGGAAGAGAUAACUAGAGAACUAGCAGAAGGUCAAUCACCACAAGACAGGCCGGACUUGGUAGCACGAGUCUUCAAGCAAAAUUAG